CCAUUGGCAUCUGGCACUGCGGUUCCUGCAUGAAAACAGUGGCCGUUGGGACCUGGACCUACAAAACCACCUCUGCAGUCACAAUGAAGUCGGCC
rnacentral:miRNA from 1 species